UGCGUAGGCGGCGAUGCAAAUUGGGUGUGAAAGCCCUCGGCUCAACCGAGGAAUUGCGCCCAAAACUGUAUUGCUUGAGGGAGACAGAGGUGAGCGGAACUUGCGGUGGAGCGGUGAAAUGCGUUGAUAUCGCAAGGAACACCCGUGGCGAAAGCGGCUCACUGGGUCUCUUCUGACGCUGAGGCACGAAAGCUAGGGGAGCGAACG
rnacentral:rRNA from 1 species